AUAUCUAGGCAAACGCUGCAAAUUUAUUUUGUAGAGGAAAGUCCAUGCUCACACAUUCUGCGAUGAAUGUAGUGUUCGUGCCUAAGGAACAAAUAACUUAGGGUAGUUUAACUAACGGCUCUAAAAAUUUCUGAAAAUGAAAUGAGUAAGUAUAAAAGUGCCAAAGAGACGAGUCUUUUAGAAAUAAAAGAAGUGGAACGUGGUAAACCCCGCGAGUGAGAAACCCAAAUUUUGGUAGGGGAACUGAAAAAGGGAAAUUGAACCUGAUUUCGGAUGUAUAUACAUAGAUAAAUGUUUGCCGCUUUGAAAAAAGUACAGAACAUGGCUUAUAAGA
rnacentral:RNase_P_RNA from 1 species